UUAAGAUAGCCGACUGGAUGUUGUUGCAAAGUGGCCUGGAUCUUCAGCUACCUAUGAUUCGCGCAUUUUAAAGGUUGGGUAGGUGAUUUGCGAAACGCCAGCAGAUUUUGAAAAUACACAACUCAAAUGGUCCUACCCCCUCUCCUUCAACGCUGACUCUGACUCCACCCAUUCCAAGUACCUGGACGCGCAAUCAUGCACGAGCGCGAACAGAGAUGCGCGAGAGCGAGCCAGGCUAGAGUAGGUUUUCGUUUAACAACAUGGCACUACAUUCAACUGUAAGUUGCACCCAGUACCGCGGGAAGUAGGAGUGCUGGGGGUGCUGCAACACCCCCUGUCCGAGGCCCUGUCUUAUCACAGAAAACGAUCAUUUCUAAAAACUCCGGCCUAAGUGGAGAUUUCUGAAAACGCCGGUUAUGUGUUGUCGUGUCAACGGGGAGAAACGGGAUUUUAGGUUCUGAAGCGUCACAUUAUGCACCAGGAAAUGCUUAACGUCAUGUGAGCGCCCGCUGUACCGUAUUGGUCCGAAUAUAAACACAAACCCCAUUGUAAGACGACCUAUAUUUGGAAAAAAGGUUUGAAGACCAGAUCCGUUUUUUAUGAAUAAAUAAAUUGUAUUCAUUGAAAUAAUAUACGAAAAUAAAAAGGCAUCGAAUAAAACACUGCAUUGCCACUAAACAGUAGUGCAAAUAGGCCGUACUGAUGUGUACACCAAAGACUAUUCCUGACACUCCUCUGCCCCGCUGUGUUCGCUCUGGCUGUGGUCGCUCCGAACUGUUUCGGCCCGUGUAAUUGAGCUGCGCUGCUAUACAUCUUUUUUUUUAUCAAUGUAACGAGUUGCGAGUCUAGUGCAGGCUGAGUUUUUUUUUUUCCCAGCACCCCCUGCUGAGAAUACGUUCUCGCUGCAAUGGUUGGACCAGAUGUUAUAAACAUUAAACGGUCACAUAAAUCAUUACUAUUUUUAGAAUAGUAAUGAUAAAAUAGUUUGUUUCAUAUAAUUGUAUUG
rnacentral:lncRNA from 1 species